ACCGGCGGCUCGAGUGGUAACCGAUAUUAUUGGGUAUAAAGGGUCUGUAGCCGGCCGGAUAAGUCUCUUGGGAAAUCUGGCAGCUUAACUGUCAGGCUUUCAGGAGAUACUGUCUGGCUCGAGGCCGGGAGAGGUAAGAGGUACGUCAGGGGUAGCGGUGAAAUCUUGUGAUCCUUGAAAGACCACCAGUGGCGAAGGCGUCUUACCAGAACAGACCUUCCGUCAGGUGACUAAAUCGAAGGGCACGAACCG
rnacentral:rRNA from 1 species